GACAUCUCAGACGACGACGGGUAGCCGGCCUGAGAGGGCGACCGGCCACACUGGGACUGAGACACGGCCCAGACUCCUACGGGAGGCAGCAGUGGGGAAUAUUGCACAAUGGGGGAAACCCUGAUGCAGCGACGCAGCGUGCGGGAUGACGGCCUUCGGGUUGUAAACCGCUUUCAGCAGGGAAGAAGCCCCUUGGGGUGACGGUACCUGCAGAAGAAGUACCGGCUAACUACGAGCCAGCAGCCGCGGUAAUACGUAGGGUACAAGCGUUGUCCGGAAUUAUUGGGCGUAAAGAGCUCGUAGGUGGUUGGUCACGUCUGCUGUGGAAACGCAACGCUUAACGUUGCGCGUGCAGUGGGUACGGGCUGACUAGAGUGCAGUAGGGGAGUCUGGAAUUCCUGGUGUAGCGGUGAAAUGCGCAGAUAUCAGGAGGAACACCGGUGCCGAAGGCGGGACUCUGGGCUGUAUCUGACACUGAGGAGCGAAAGCAUGGGGAGCGAACAGGAUUGGAUACCGGGCGAGUCCAUGCCCUAAACGUUGGGCACUAGGUGUGGGGGACAUUCCCCGUUCUCCUCCUUGUGAAGCAAUAACUAAACGACCAGCUGGGAAGGGCCGCGAAUUCG
rnacentral:rRNA from 1 species